rnacentral:rRNA from 1 species
AACGAACGCUGGCGGCACGUUUUAAGCAUGCAAGUCGAAUGGUAAACAGGGGCAACUCUGUGAGAAUGGCGAACGGGUGAGUAACACGUAGGUGAUCUGCCCUUAGGCUGGGGAUAGCCUGUGGAAACACAGGGUAAUACCGAAUACGCUGGACUGGCUUUGGCUGGUCUAGGAAAGGUGCUACGGCACCGCCUGAGGAGGAGCCUGCGGCUGAUUAGCUAGUUGGUGGGGUAAGAGCCUACCAAGGCGACGAUCAGUAGCCGGCCUGAG